UCCUCCUCAAACCGGAGCAUAGCAGAAGCAUGCAAUAUACUUUAUCAGCUAUUGCAGAUGGACUUUCCAGUCCUAUCUUCUUCUGGUAGGGCCAAAGAGCUACCCCGUCUGGUCGAUGAGUGUAGGGAGGAAUAUAUCGACGAUGACUCAUAUGCAAGAUUAUACAAUCUCAAAGAAAUUCUGGAGCUAAUGGAGGAAUAUAACUGCAGGAAACUUCGUAUGGAAGAUACAGUUUUGUCACUUGCACAUCUGAAUGGAGUCCCGAGAGACCAGAUUUCUUCUAUUGUGACUAGCAUGUUGGCUGUAACAAUGUCGAGUGCUUCACACAGCUUGACAUAUACUUCUGCAGCAUACAAUAACUUACUCAGAGAGUACUUCAGAUAGUUUACCUCAAAGUUGUUUCAUAUUACAACGAAAUACGUGUAUUUAAUAUAGAAUGACAAUGUGUAAUGAAAUUUUCAAAGGUUAUAGAUUAAAGUUUACAGAUUUAUUAUAUUCUGCUUGCAUUAUAGUGUAAUGGUCUAAUCAUAUUUUAAUCAUCUCUCUAAGCAUAAGCACAAAUGCAUUCUACAAUCAACACUACUUGUAUAAUGUUUUAGUAUAUUCCACUUAUACUAACAUUGUUUAAAUUUAUAAGUUCGUAGCUCACACAUAUUCAGUGAUGACACCAGGUGGGAGAUCAAGUUGUUCGUGCACUGGAUCUACCUCUUCUACCCAUAAUGCGACGGAGACAGCAUCGCCGUCACAUGUUGCAUCGCAGGCGUCUGAUCCCUCAGUCGCGCAUACACUGGGCACUGCAUCAUCGUCGACCAGCCGACGAGGAUGUGGACUUACGCGUGGGUUACUUUUAGAGCGACUUACGCGUGAGGGUUGAGUGAUGGUAGAGUUCCUAAAGGACUGCCUUAGACCUGUUGGGGACAAUGCCAGGUUGUUUAUGUCGGAGGUCAGUGUCUUAUGUCGAUCUCUGAUACCCCCACCACCCCCCGUUGGUCAGACGUGACAGAUGAUGUGCGUCAGCUCAUCCGUCAGUGCCUUCAGGAUAAAUUUAUCUUGAAUUUCACUGUUUCGUACAUUUCUCAUGCCGUCAACGACAUGGUCAAGGAGUGGUUCAAGGAGUACCGCGGUGACUUACACCAGCGGUACAAGCGGUGCAUGAGCCAUGAGGAGGGUAUACUGUCCGCACCGCUGCACAUGACCCAUGACGACUGGUGGAUACUCUACGAGAGAUUUUUGUCUGAGUCUUUUCAGGUAAUAUUUACAUAUUUACGAUAUCUUAAGGUAACAAUUAAAUUCACAAUUAAUAACAAUGUAUUAUGAAUAAUGUGUUCAGUAGAGGAGUAAAAUAAAUUCUGGCAACAGGAGAAAGUUAGAAGUAAACCACGUAGCUGGUUCAAAGUCAUUUAUACAACUUCGUUACAACAUGGUAAAAAAUUACUGUUGAUUAUUAAGUUGAUAUAUUCUUUCCAUGCAUUUAUAUUAACUCUAUUGUCCUUUCGAUUACGCAGCGAGAUUCCAUCACUGGCCAGGAGCCCGGACCAGUAGACCUCUACAGAGGGACUCACUGUCUGCAGGUGACAGGAUCUUGGGUACAUCCUAGAGCCAGCGAGAAUUGGGUAAAAAUCCUUAUAUUGUAAAAUUUAAUUGCAUUGAAUUAUAAUAAUGUCAUUUGUUAUGAAAAUUCAUAUGUUUUCAUUACAGGCGGUGAUGGACACCUUACGCAAUCAGCCUACUCCCGAUGGUACUCAGCAGAGUGAGCCAGAGAUCCUAAGUAAGG